rnacentral:lncRNA from 10 species
GCACAGCAGCAGAGUCCCCGCUACGGGGUCGGCAUUUUCUCAUCCUCUUGCUCAGGCGGGCAUGAUUAGGGGGCUGGGAAGGACUCACAGAAGGCGACGCAGCAAGAAGUGACAGAGACCCAGACCCUCCGGAGCCCCAGCUGCUCACCUGACCCUGCACCGCCCCCCAGGAAGAAUCAAACGUCUCUAGGCAGAAAGGGCGGCCGUAUCCAGAAGAGAGAACAGCCAUGCAGUGAUGUGCUUAGGGAAAUCUGGCGCAACAAUGUCAAGGCGAGCACUCACCUUGUGCCCAGCCCUGUAAUAAAAGGUUUAUAUACAGUA